GGAUCGAUAGCUCAGUGGUAGAGCGAGAGAUUGCAGUUUACCGCAGUUAUCUCUAGGCCCCGCGUUCGAACCGCGGUCGGUCCU
rnacentral:tRNA from 1 species